GCGGCGGCCUCGAGGUUGUCCUGCUGUGCUCCGCAGUGCUCCAACGCCGCGGGGCGGCUCCGGGCGCCGCCUCAGCUUCUACAGGAGAGACGUUGUGGGUGAGACAGAGGGAACAUCAAAUGAGAAACUGGGAAGAGAUAUGAAGUAGCGGGACCAGUUUUUCUAAAUGGUUAUCAAGUUUCUCAACAGAAAGCUCAACUGAUCAAAGAGAAGGAAGGAAGCAAUUUGCUGGACUCCCAGGACACCAACGCAGAGCUACCUUCGAGCCGGCACUGUGUGACUGCAUGGAGACUGUCUGUGCCAGUGGGCCAGACCUAAAGAAGGAACUACCAGAUGAUGCUGAGGAUUCCUGCAUUCAUCGACAGAAGCAGUUUAGUGAGACAAAGGAACCGUAAGGCAGGAUAUGCAGUAACUGCUACUGAGCAGGUAAUCAGAGUACAACCGUUACCUGUAGGGACUUCCACUAAGAGGUCUAAAAUAGCCUUAAACGUAUGGACAGAUGCUAAAUAUGCAUUUGGGGUGGCACACACUUAUGGUACCAUCUGGAAAGAGCAAGGAGUGCUCACACACAGGGAAAACAAAUUGAGCACGGUGUAUAUCUACCAAAGAGCGUGGCUGUUAUACACUGUGAUGGACAUCAGAAAGGUGACAGUGUCCAGGAAACUGGAAAUAUGAUAGGGAUCAGGUGGCAAAACAGGCAGUUGAAGGAAAAGAGAUAGCAGAACUGGCUUUAAUUCCAGAUGGUAAACUUCAAAUCUCUGAACCUGAGUCAGCCUGUGGAGCACUUUAGAGGGGACGGGAAUCUAAUUAAUGAUUUAGAAGGGAAGAGAGCUAGCUGACAGAUGGGUGCGUACCCAGAUGGACGCGCUGUUGUGCCCUUUAGUACUUUAUGGAAGUUGGUUCUAAGGGAACAUAUUGAAACAUACUGAGGGGACAAACAGUAGAAAGUAAUUGCGCAAUCUAGUACCAGGAACAGGGUACAAGUGGGGCCUAUUAGGAAAGGGAACCUUCCAGGGCAACAAUGGCAAAUUGUUUUUUGUUUGGAACUACCAGGAAAAAAGGAGGGUUUUGUUAUAUGCUAGUUGAAACCAAUACCUUUCCAGGGUGGCCAGAAGCAUUCCCU
ensembl:lncRNA